AUUGCCCAUAAGAGUCAGUAUUAGCAUGUCAUCUCAAUAAUGCUUAUUUGUAAAUGUUUUUCGUGUAGCUUAUCAAAAUUAUUUUAUCCUAUAUCCAAAUCUGAAUAUACAAAUAUGCUUCUUCUCUAGCAUCUAAACAGUAUGAAAUUAAAAGCAACGGAA